UCCCCUUCUCCCUCCGCUCCCGCCAGUUCUCCCUCCCCGACUACGUCCGCUACCUCAUCUCCGAGUACAAGAAGAUCCUCACGGUAUGGUAACACACACCUCUGCACCUUCCGGCAACACCACUAGCCACAGGUAAGCAGAGACGAGCACCGGCUGACGCGUACGUUGGAUGCAUGCAUGCAGAGGCUGUACGACAUGGGCGCGCGGCGCGUGCUGGUGACGGGGACGGGCCCGCUGGGCUGCGCGCCGGCGGAGCUCGCGCUCCGGAGCCGCGACGGGGAGUGCGACAGGGACCUGAUGCGCGCGGCGGAGCUGUUCAACCCGCAGCUGUCCCAGGCCCUGGAGGAGCUCAACGCGCGCUACGGCGACGGGACCUUCAUCGCCGCCAACUCCUUCCGCGUCCACUUCGACUUCAUCAGCGACCCGGCGGCGUACGGCUUCCGGACGGCCAAGGAGGCGUGCUGCGGGCAGGGGCCGCACAACGGCAUCGGCCUCUGCACGGCGGUGUCCCACCUGUGCGCGAACAGGGACCAGUACGUGUUCUGGGACUCGUACCACCCCACGGAGCGCGCCAACCGGAUCAUCGUCAGCCAGUUCAUGACCGGCUCGCUCGACUACGUCAGCCCGCUCAACCUCAGCACCGCCCUCCACAUCGACGCCAGCCUCAUGGACUGAUGAUAUGCUACUAGAAGCUACGUACGUGUCGAUCCGUAACUUUGUUGAUUGUUGGUUGCUGCAUGGCGUGGUUCAUGCCACUCUCGGUUUUGAAUGUGGUGUUAGUUGUGUGUUGCUAAUUGGAGAUCAAUAAAUCGUGUAACUAGUAAGCGUGUUACUGCAAUGAACGUGUCAUACUCGAAAACAUAAUGACCAGUGAGAUGUACUCCUUCCAUCCAGAAAUACUUGUCAUCAAAAUAGAUAAAAAAAGUAUAUUUAGAACUAAAAUACAUUUAGAUACAACUCUUUUUAUUCAUCUUGAUGACAAAUAUUUUCAGACGAAUGGAGUAUCUGCCAAUGAAAACAGGGAGUAAUAAUGGUAACCAGUAAGGAUCAGGGAGAUAUGGUGAAAUGCAUGUCUUAUAACAAUACAACAUGGUAAUAGCAAAUUGUAAACUAAAUACACUAAGAAAGAAGGUACAAUUCAAGUUGUCGCAUGCAUCAAUUCAGCAUCCGAAAAAAUGAAUCAUGUACAUCAGAUUUCUCCUGGAUCAAAACAGGAAUCACACAUACUUGGAACGAUUUCGGAUGUUCCUUUGUAUAACCCAUUACACUAGGUAGAUGAUUUAAAACUCAAUGAUUGGAAUGAGCAUUUUCUAUGUCCAUGAUUGUUCUAGUCAUCCUAGUAGCAUCUCACAAACUCUUCUCGUAUUCCUCCGCUUCUUUCAGUUAAAUCUGGUGCUCUAUAUUUUAACUUCUGGAUAUCUUUUUUAUAUUAAUAAAUUAUGUACAUACAAUCAACCAUACAAAGUGAUCACCCAAUACCAGUUUUAUGAAACAUGGAAACUAAUUAAAUGUUCUGUGUAACCCAGGAACUAAUCUUAUCCGCUUUUGAAUGCUUCGCUUUGAUCGGUGCUGCCCAAAGUCCUUCUUGGAGGUAAAACUUCCAUCCCUGGAUAUGUGGAGCUGCUGCUCGAAAGAUCUUAUCGUUUCUGAUCGACCAAAUACCCCAACAGCCCAUAGUGACAAUAUCUAGUGCAAUAUCUGGAGGGAGUUGUACCAUGGCUAGUUGGAAAUCAUCAACGAUGGCGAUGCAUCUAAGCUUGGAAGGAAUGAUGGAUUCCCAGCAUUGAAGUGCAAAAGGGCAAUUCCAGAAGAGGUGGAGCAGGUGUAACGCCCUCGAUGCGGCUAUAUCUCCCACGUGUCGAAGAACGACUUAGAGGUAUAACCGCAUUGAAAGCAAUGUCGCAAGUGAGGUAAUCUUCACACAACCCAUGUAAUACAUAAGGGAAAGAAAUACAUAGUUGGCUUACAAUCGCCACUUCACACAAUACAUGAAAAAAACAUUACAUCAUCCAGAUACAAACAAGGUCCGACUACGGAACCGAAAUAAAAGAAGACUACCCAAAUGCUACACAGAUCCCCGAUCGUCCCAACUGGGCUCCACUACUGAUCAACUGGAAAUGGAACAACAUAACAAACAUGAUCUUCAUCGAGCUCCUCCUUGAGCUCGGUUGCGUCACCUGCACGGUAUCAUCGGCACCUGCAAACUGAUUUUGGAAGUAACUAUGAGUCACGGGGACUCAGCAAUCUCACACCCUCGCGAUCAAGACUAUUUAAGCUUAUAGGAAGGGUAAAAGGUAUGAGGUGGAGCUACAUCAAGCGACCAGCAUAUAUGGUGGCUAACAUACGCAAAAGAGAGCGAGAAGAGAAGGCAAAGCACGGUCGAGAAACUAUGAUCAAGAAGUGAUCCUAGAACAACCUACGUCAAGCAUAACUCCAACACCGUGUUCACUUUUCGGACACCGCCGAAAAGAGACCAUCACGGUAACACACGUGGUUGAUGUAUUUUAAUUAAGAUCAACUUCAGGUUUUUUACAACUGGACAUUAACAAAUUCCCAUCUGCCCAUAACCGCGGGCACGACUUUCAAAAGUUCAAAUCCCUGCAGAGGUGUCCCAACUUAGCCCAUCACAAGCUCUCACGGUCAACGGAGGAUAUUCCUUCUCCCAAGACAAUCCGAUCAGACUCGGAAUCCCGGUUACAAGACAUCCCCGACAAUGGUAAAACAAGUCCAGCAACACCACCCGAAUGUGCCAACAAAUCCCGAUAGGAGCUGCACAUAUCUCGUUCUCAGGACACAACGGAUAAGCAAUCCGUACAACUAAAACCAGCCCUCGAGUUUCCCCGAGGUGGCGCUGCAAGGGGCUCUAGUUUGGACCAACACUCAGAGGAGCACUGGCCCGGGGGGUUUAAGAAAGAUGACCCUUAAGUCCGUGGAACCCAAGGGAAAAAGAGGCUAGGUGGCGAAUGGUAAAACCAAUGUUGGGCAUUGCUAGAGGAGUUUUAUUCAAGGCGAACUGUUAAGGGUUCCCAUUAUAACCCAACCGUGUAAGGAACGCAAAAUCCGGGAACAUAACACCGAUAUGACGGAAACUAGGGUGACAAGAGUGGAACAAAACACCAGGCAUAAGGCCGAGCCUUCCACCCUUUACCAAGUAUAUAGAUGCAUUAAUUAAAUAAGGGAUAUUGUGAUAUCCCGAAAAAUAUCCAUGUUCCAAACAUGGAACAAGCUCCAAUCUUCACCUGCAACUAACAACGCUAUAAGAGGGGCUGAGCAAAGCGGUAACAUAGCCAAACAACGGUUUGCUAGGACAAGGUGGGUUAGAGGUUUGACAUGGCAAUAUGGGAGGCAUGAUAAAGCAAGUGGUAGGUAUCGCAGUAAAGGCAUAGCAAAAGAGCGAGCAUCUAGCAAGCAAAGAUAGAAGUGAUUUCGAGGGUAUGGUCAUCUUGCCUGAGAUCCCGCAAAGAAGAAGAACGAGUCCAUGAAAAAGACAAACGGAUGUAGCCAACGGGUCCUCACAAACGCAACGUUAUCGGAACUAACCCGAAGAAGCAACACCGGAAAGAAAGCAAACAACAUAGUAAACAACCACCACAUAAACAUGGCAUGAUGCACAACCAAGUAUGAUGCAUGUCCGGUUUAAAUAUGCAUGACAUGGCAAUAUGCAACAAACAACACUACAAAUUAAGUGGAGCUCAAUAUGCAACGAGUUGCAUAUUGACGGAACACCACAUGACUUAUUUAGUUCACUCUCGGUUAGGUACUCAACAAUAUUAACUGUUGGUUAACAUGGCAAGAGGUGAAGCAUAACAAAACUAUAUCAUUUAAACAGUUUAAAUGGGGCCGGAUAUAACAAAUAACGAAUCCGGUAAAUCCCCAUAUGCAUUAGUAAUUUAUUGCACCAACAAUUUAAACAUUUUAAUUGUUGUUAUCAUGAUGCGGAUGACAUGAACAAGUUUAUGCAAUUUUUAUUAAAAGUUGACAAGAGCAUUAUGAAGCAUUUUGUCAUCGUGGCGGAAACGAAAAGGCGUGCCACGACAACGAUAAUGGUAACGGUGCCACGGCAACGUUUCGGGUUCCGGUACUUUAUUGAGAUACCGAUGCAAAGGGGAAAUGUGCGGAUGCGUGCAAAAGAUGGUGGGGCGCUCCCGGAUACCGGGUUCCCACGGGUUAGUGGCAUGGAAACGAGUGACAAUACGGACAUGGUGCAGACAAAGGGGGCAUCUCAUCCAACAUGCAUUCAUUCGUUCACGGGCGUCGUCUCGGGGUUAUACCUUCGAGGUUGGACUUUUCGGAACGGAUCAAGUUCAUAUCGGGAAGUAGGCGUUCUCGCGACGGCGGUAGUGGAAGUAGUCGUACAUGACGGCGAUAGAGGUACUCGCGACGGCAGUAGUACACGUUCGUUUCCGGAGAGGUACUUGACGAAUCCAACGUUUUCGGGGCAACGGUAGUGGUACUUGGCAAAACGCAUGUCAACGUUGUUGUUCUCGUAUCGUCAUGGAGGUAGUCGUUCACUCGAUGGUUUUAUCGGAACAUCAUCAACGGUAGAGAUCCACCUUGGCAUUCCGAAGGGGUACUUGUCGUCGUGGUACUUGGCGGAAAACACGUCGAGGGUACUUGUUCUCGCAUCAUCGUGGAAGUAGUCGUUCGGGCUCCCGUGUGAACUUGCCGGUCUUGGUCUCCGCAGCGUAGUUGUGCAAAAGUGUCGUCGGGCUUGGACGAAUCCGGAGGCGUGCACGAGCGGUGGUGAUCUUGGAAGUAUGUGACCGAAGCAUGGAGGUGGACACGGUCAACGGAGGGACGUACAUGCGGUCGGAUCUGGCAGGCAGCAGCACUGCUCGUCCUUCUCGGUUGAGGCUGAGGCGAAGUAGGGCAUGGCAAGCAGACAGCAAGGCAAGGCAGCUCGGGGCGGCUGCGUGCCUCCAGGAGCGAUGUAGGGCUGUAGACGCGCACAGAGAGAAGCUACGGACGAGAAGGAAUGCCACGACGGUGCUGGUCUCCGGCAAGGCGGCUGGAGUCGAGGAGCUUGGGGCGGCCACGGCGAGCGAGGAAGCAACAUGGGGGAAGCAGGAGGCGAGGCAGAGCAGAGGCUCGCCGGUGGGAUAGAGGAGAAACGGGCGCGGGGCGACGCUCCUCUCCGCCUCUCCUCCUGACGGCGCAAGGAGGGAGGAGACGAACGAGGGGAGAGGGAGGUGGAUCGAGAGAAGGGGUUCGAGGGGAGAUCGAGGAGAUGGUGAGCAGGCGCUGGUGAAAGGAGGAAGGGAGCGAGGGGGGUUCGGGAAGACUGGUGGCGGCGCUCGAGGGAGAUGGGGGUCGGGCAGAGAGGAAGGAGAUCGAGCAAAGGCUCGCUAGGGUUAGGAGGGGUGUGGGCUACGGCUAGGCCUAGGUGGGCCAGCGCAGUGGGGAGGUAAAAGGCCAGGGCCUUGGGCCUUUUGGUGGAGAUUCUAAGAGGCCAGUCAGUGCAGGCUGCCUCUCACUCUCUCUCUAUUAAACUAUUUCCUUUAACAGAAAAAGCAUAGAGAGAAGAGAAAAGAAGAGGGGGGUUAGGGAAAGAAUUACGCACGAGGGAUAAUUUUUACGGACUCGUAUAGAUGUGCACGGUCCACGAAAAAUAGGAGAGGCAUGAUUGCAAGAAUUUAAUUCAAAGCCAUUUGAAUUUAAUUCAAAUGGUUUGAACAAGGACUAGGAAUUAGAGGUGUCCAAAAAUGUUUGGAUUUUUGGUGGAGCUCCGGAAAAUGAUGAAAGAAAUAUAAGGCAAGGUUAGAGAGUCAACACUUGAAGAAGAAAAAGGCCAAGGGAUUUAAUAUGCAAGUGUGUUAAGGUGAAUUCCAAAUAAAUGGAAUAUUUAUAAUAGCUCCAUAAAUAUUAGGAGGAUAAUGUUAUAAAGAGAAGGCACUCUUCCCUUGAUUUAAAUGGAUCGAAGAUCCACACAAAUUAUUUAGUGGGUUUUAAAACGGGUUGCGUGAUGACAUGAUGCAAGGCACAUGAUGCAAAGGGGAAAGCAACAAGCAAAACAAAACACAUGACGAAACCCGGAAUCCAUGGAUGGCAUCUGAAUCUCCGGUCUUGGGGCGUUACAACACUCCCCCACUACGAGAGGAUCUCGUCCCGAGAUCUAGGAUGGCAUUGGAGGGAAAAUGGAAGAGGAAGACGAGAGGUAAAACUAAGCUGCUUCUUUAACAAAUGAGUGAAACCAAAGAACCUUGAAAAGUUGAACAAAUUGAAAAAAAGAAUACCACGGAGAUGAACGAAGUUGAAAACACUCCGUUAGAAAAGAGCAACAAAGAAGAAUAAAUUCGGGCAGCACUCCAGUUUACAAGUGAUAAGCAACUUGAUAAGAUGAAAAGAACUUGAGCAGAGGACACAACACUUCAGUUAAAUGAAUAAGCAUGAAAAGAACAUGAUCUUUGACCGACCGAGAUGAUGGUUGAAUAUAGCAACAAUACCAUGCCUCCGGAACGAAUGUUAGAAUGGAAUCAAAAGAACGGAGGGGAAAACGACAUCUUCUAUCUCAAAUGAGCUUGACAAGGCAUCUUUAGGAGAAGGGUCGAACGGAGUUGUUGGAAAACCAACAACGAAUGGAUAAGCUUGUUGUGGGCUUAUGGAAAAAACAUCUCAGGAACUUGAGGUGAAAACCUGCCAUAAAUGGAAACAAGAUUGGAUUGAUAUCAACAAGGAGACGAGAAACUAUUUCACCGGGAGGAUAAAAGAAGAACUUGGGUCAUUUAUAAGCACCAUAAUUAGCAAAAAUUCUUAGGGAAGGCUUUAGGUUAAACAUGACACAAGAUAACUCCAACGAAGAGAUUGAUGGAUUUAAAAUACCUCAUUCUUAACAACAUGUGAAUCAUGAAACAUGAACUCAAAUUAUCAAGAAUGACAUAAUACCACCUCCAAUGAUACGGUAGAAAGAAUUGCACUCCGGAUUGCAAGAUGAAGAAUGCUUGAACUCCUCAGAAAAGAAUCUUGAUGAACACUUCGAGAAGGAAUUAAAUCCUUUAUGAACCAUCAUGUAGCACCUUCAUGAAGAACUCCGUUAAACAAAAGAAUGAUCAAACGGAAGGAAAGAGAAGUUGAAAACACAAGGUGAAUCCUUGUACCGAUUUAAAUGAAUCUCCGUGGUGAAAUAAUUGAAAAAGGUUGGAACUCCGGGAAAAAGAGAAGAUGAAACAAUUGAAAUCAGGAAUUUGAAGAGCCUCCGGAAUAGGGAAUUGAGUUCACUCGAUGAAACACGAAUAAGAAUUACAUUAUGCUUAUUCUUCACCAAUUUAAAUUGAUGAAGCAACAUAUUUGGCAUAUUACUUAUUCUCGUAGAAAGGAUUAAGAUAGAUAUAGCGUCAAACUUAGGAAGGUCUUCAACAAUCCACCGGUAGAAUUGAAAUAACGAAUGAAUUGAUAAGAUAAAGAAGGAAGAGAAAUGUUGGCCGAAACACCGUAAGAAUUGAAAACGAACGAAGUAAAGGGGUGAAUCACCAAUAAGAAUUGUGAAAUGAAGGAAGAUACUUGAGACAAUCUAGAUACAUGAGAACAAAGGGAUCACGAACUGAUUAGAGAUCACUUGAACGAUGCACCGGUAAGAUUGGAGAAUGAUAACUGACAGCUGAGAAUGAAUAAACCUGAAUUGAUGGACUCCGGAUAACAAACUGAGAAGACUCUUGAAUUGCUCCGGAUGGGUGAAAAGAAUUCCCACAAUCGAAAAUAAUUAUGAGAGGAUUGGAACAAGCUAGAAUCAUGAAUCUUGAAGAGAAUGGAGCAAGAUUGAGAGAAAAAUCUUCUUCGGUCUUCCAAUCUGAGAAUGACGACGAGAAACACCACCAUGAAUUAUUUAGACGCUCCGGAAGAAUCAAAAGCGAAGAGAUUGAGCCAACGAUGAAAAGAAUUUGACAGAUCUUGGAGAAAUACAUUUGACUGAUGAUAACUCAUUCUUACGUCAAACUUGGAAAAGAAUUUGAGAAAUAACUCCGGAAGAAAAUUAGAAGAGUUAGGUAAGAUCCUGGGAAAAGACCUGUGGGUUAGGGCCCACUCAAAAGAUACACCAUAGAACGAUUGCUUGAAAAGAGAGAUUGCACCGGUUGAAUUAAAAGGCUUGAAUGAGAUAACAUCCUCAAAAGAGUUUGAACGAAAGCAGAGUGGAAACACGAAUCUUUGAGAUAUCUUCAGCACUCCCGAACAAAUGAAUAGCGAGAAGUGAAUUAUUAUGAGGUGCACCGGCAUAAGAAAAGCAUUGAAACAAGGAAAAAAUAUGAUCGACAAAGCUUGAAUUGAAUCCACCGGAGAAGAAAAGGAAUGAAGAAUGAUGAACUUGUAGAGCAUCUUCAUGAGAAUCACCAGAUAAGAACAUUUACGGAAAGGAAUGGAGAGACUUCCCAUCAAUAAAAGGAUACAUGAUUAAGAAAUCUAAGUCCUUGAAGAAAAAGGGUGGGAGGGUGGGAAAAUAAAGGAAAACUUGAGAUGGAUGAAACAAACAACGUUGAGAAGACUUGAGUUGAUCUUGCGUUUGUUGAAAAAGAUCGGAUCCACUUGAAGAGAAGCACACCGGUUGAAAAUAAGUUGAAAUGACAAACUCGAUGAUCAAGAAGGAUUAGUAUUCACAUAGAAAUAUGAGAACACCGCUUAGGCAAGGUAUGAAAUCAACAUUUGACUUCGAAGCAACUCGAAUACCACAACUCAAAAACAAAACAAAGGAUUGGCUUGCAGAAUAAGCCGGAACAAACAUAUGAUAGAGAUUUCGUCCGAAGUUUUCGUGGUGGGGCCUACACGGGCUCGAUCGUACAACACGAUCAUGUACAAGGCAGUGCACAUGACAUAUGAAGCAUCCCCGAGUCAGCAUAGCCAAGGACUCUUUAAGACACAACGAGACCACUGUAAAACCAACCGUGGAUAGGCGGACCACUAAACGUCGAACCCCAAUUUCAUAUCAUACAUCUGUCGGAAAGAUAUCCUAAGAGCUACUUGAAUUCCCACUUAUAAACUCCCGAAACUUUCCGGUUAUGCAAUUAGGUGUUGGGGAUACAGGGGAAGCAUAAUAUCUCACCCAAAACUAACAAAUCCUACAUCCAGCUGUAUCCAUCCUUCAACACAUAACCAAGAAACCUUCGGAAAUCGUUUACCUCAACCUUCGAAAAGCAUCCGUUAUACGAAUUAUGGCAAUACUCCCGAACUCCCGCCCAGUACUGGGUGGCGUCGAGGUUAUCUCACCAACAACUGCAUAAAACAGAUUUUCGAUGUCAGCGAAACUCAGGUAUUCCAGAACUACAACGAUAAAAUUGUGACGACAACACCUCGGAGCUAAACUCCCCGGGACACUGCCACAACCCCUAAAUGUCAGGAGGCACCAAGAACAAUGUUCUCGUCACAAAACCAUCAGAACGAUUCCAAGAUACCCGCGUGAUCCUAAAUUUUUUUUAGUGAAAUUUGAGAAGAGAAGAGUUAAAACUCUACAUCAGGAUGCCUCACCAGAGCGACGAAGGGACUGAGGAGUAAAAAGAAGUCCUACUCUCCGAUAUAUAUAAUUCCUAAAUGACUCAAAACAUUUUUUCUAGACUCAACAACGCCAACGAUUCGAUCAAGUAGGGGGCUCCUAAGGUCGAGGAAGGCUCUGAUUACCAACUUGUAACGCCCUCGAUGAGGCUAUAUCUCCCACGUGUCGAAGCACGACUUAGAGGCAUAACCGCAUUGAAAGCAAUGUCGCAAGUGAGGUAAUCUUCACACAACCCAUGUAACACAUAAGGGAAAGAGAUACGUAGUUGGCUUACAAUCGCCACUUCACACAAUACAUGAAUAAAGCAUUACAUCAUCCAGAUACAAACAAGGUCCGACUACGGAACCAAAAUAAAAGAACACUACCCCAAAUGCUACACAGAUCCCUGAUCGUCCCAACUGGGCUCCACUACUGAUCAACUGGAAACAGAACAACAUAACGAACACGAUCUUCAUCGAGCUCCUCCUUGAGCUCGGUUGCGUCACGUGCACGGUAUCAUCGGCACCUGCAAACUGGUUUUGGAAGUAACCGUGAGUCACGGGGACUCAGCAAUCUCACACCCUCGCGAUCAAGACUAUUUAAGCUUAUAGGAAGGGUAAAAGGUAUGAGGUGGAGUUGCAGCAAGCGACUAGUAUAUAUGGUGGCUAACAUACGCAAAAGAGGGCGAGAAGAGAAGGCAAAGCACGGUCGAGAAACUAUGAUCAAGAAGUGAUCCUAGAACAACCUACGUCAAGCAUAACUCCAACACCGUGUUCGCUUCCCGAACACCGCCGAAAAGAGACCAUCACGGUAACACACGCGGUUGAUGUAUUUUAAUUAAGAUCAACUUCAGGUUUUGUACAAUCGGACAUUAACAAAUUCCCAUCUACCCAUAACCGCGGGCACGGCUUUCGAAAGUUCAAAUCCCUGCAGAGGUGUCCCAACUUAGCCCAUCACAAGCUCUCACGGUCAACAAAGGAUAUUCCUUCUCCCAAGACAAUCCGAUCAAACUCGGAAUCCCGGUUACAAGACAUCCUCGACAAUGGUAAAACAAGUCCAGCAAUACCACCCGAAUGUGCCGACAAAUCCCGAUAGUAGCUGCACAUAUCUCGUUCUCAGGGCACAACGGAUAAGCAAUCCGUACAACUAAACCAGCCCUCGAGUUUCCCCGAGGUGGCGCUGCAAGGGGCUCUAGUUUGGACCAACACUCAGAGGAGCACUGGCCCGGGGGGUUUAAUAAAGAUGACUCUUGAGUCCGCGGAACCCAAGGAAAAAAGAGGCUAGGUGGCUAAUGGUAAAACCAAUCUUGGGCAUUGCUGGAGGAGUUUUAUUCAAGGCGAACUGUCAAGGGGUUCCCAUUAUAACCCAACCGUGUAAGGAACGCAAAAUCCGGGAACAUAACACCGAUAUGACAGAAACUAGGGCGGCAAGAGUGGAACAAAACACCAGGCAUAAGGCCGAGCCUUCCACCCUUUACUAACUAUAUAGAUGCAUUAAUUAAAUAAGAGAUAUUGUGAUAUCCCGACAAAUAUCCAUGUUCCAAACAUGGAACAAGCUCCAAUCUUCACCUGCAACUAACAACGCUAUAAGAGGGGCUGAGCAAAGCGGUAACAUAGCCAAACAAUGGUUUGCUAGGAUAAGGUGGGUUAGAGGUUUGACAUGGCAAUAUGGGAGGCAUGAUAAAGCAAGUGGUAGGUAUCACAGCAAAGGCAUAGCAAAAGAGCGAGCAUCUAGCAAGCAAAGAUAGAAGUGAUUUCGAGGGUAUGGUCAUCUUGCCUGAGAUCCCACAAGGAAGAAGAACGAGUCCAUGAAGAAGACAAACGGAUGUAGCCAACGAGUCCUCACAAAUGCAACGUUAUCGGAACUAACCCGAAGAAGCAAUACCGGAAAGAAAGCAAACAACAUAGUAAACAACCACCACAUAAACAUGGCAUGAUGCACAACCAAGUAUGAUGCAUGUUCGGUUUAAAUAUGCAUGACAUGGCAAUAUGCAACAAACAACACUACAAAUUAAGUGGAGCUCAAUAUGCAACGGGUUGCAUAUUGACGGAACACCACAUGACUUAUUUAGUUCACUCUCGGUUAGGUACUCAACAAUAUUAAAUGUUGGUUAACAUGGCAAGAGGUGAAGCAUAACAAAACUAUAUCAUUUAAACAAUUUAAAUGGGGCCGGAUAUAACAAACAAUGAAUCCGGUAAAUCCCCAUAUGCAUUAGUAAUUUAUUGCAACAACAAUUUAAACAUUUUAAUUGUUGUUAUCAUGAUGCGAAUGACAUGAAAGUUUAUGCAAUUUUUAUUAAAAGUUGACAAGAGCAUUAUGAAGCAUUUUGUCAUCGUGGCGAAAAUGAAAAGGGGUGCCACGGCAACGAUAACGGUAACGGUGCCACGGCAAUGUUUCGGGUUCCGGUACUUGAUUGAGAUACCGAUGCAAAGGGGAAAUGUGCGGAUGCAUGCAAAAGAUGGUGGGGCGCUCCCGGAUACCGGGUUCCCACGGUUUAGUGGCAUGGAAACGAGUGACAAUAUGGACAUGGUGCAGACAAAGGGGGCAUCUCAUCCAACAUGCAUUCAUUCAUUCACGGGCGUCGUCUCGGGGUUAUACCUUCGAGGCUGGACUAUUCGGGACGGAUCAAGUUCAGAGUGGGAACUAGGCAUUCUCGCGACGGCGGUUGUGGAAGUAGUCGUAUAUGACGAUGAUAGAGGUACUCGCGACUGUAGUGGUACACGUUCGUUUCCGGAGAGGUACUUGACAAAUCCAACAUUUUCUUGGCGUCGGCAGUGGUACUUGGCAAAACGCAUGUCAACGGUUGUUGUUCUCGUAUUGUCAUGGAGGUAGUUGUUCACUCGAUGGUCUUAUCGGAACAUCGUCAACGGUAGAGGUCCACCUUGGCAUUCCAAAGGGGUACUUGUCGUCGUGGUACUUGGCGAAAAACACGUUGAGGGUACUUGUUCUUGCAUCAUCGUGGAAGUAGUCGUUCGGGCUCCCGUGCGAACUUGCCGGUCUUGGUCUCCGCAGCGUAGUUUUGCAAAAGUGUCGUCGGGCCUGGACGAAUCCAGAGGCGUGCACGAGCGGUGGUGAUCUUGGAGGUAUGUGACCGAAGCAUGGUGGUGGUCAUGGUCAACGGAGGGACGUACGUGCGGGCGGAUCUGGCAGGCAGCAACACUGCUCGUCCUUCUCGGUUGAGGCCGAGGCGAAGCAGGGCAUGGCGAGCAGACAACGAGGCAAGGCAGCUCGGGGCGACUGCGUGCCUCCAGGAGCGAUGUAGGGCUGCAGGCGCGCGUGGAGAGAAGCUGCUGACGAGAAGGAAGGCCACGGCGGUGCUGGUCUCCAGCAGGGUGGCUGGAGUCGAGGAGCUUGGGGUGGCCACGGCGAGCGAGGAAGCAACAUGGGGGAAGCGGGAGGCGAGGCAAAGCAGAGGCUCGCCGGUGGGAUAGAGGAGAAACGGGCGCGGGGCGACGCUCCUCGCCGCCUCUCCUCCUGACGGCGCAAGGAGGGACGAGAUGAACGAGGGGAGAGGGAGGUAGAUCGAGAGAAGGGGUUCGAGGGGAGAUCGAGGAGAUGGUGAGGAGGCGCUGGUGAAAGGAGGAAGGGAGCGAGGGGGGUUUGGGAAGACUGGUGGCGGCGCUCGAGGGAGAUGGGGGUCGGGCAGAGAGGAAGGAGAUCGAGCAAAGGCUCGCUAGGGUUAGGAGGGGUGUGGGCUACGGCUAGGCCUAGGUGGGCCAGCGCAGUGGGGAGGUAAAAGGCCAGGGCCUUGGGCCUUUUGGUGGAGAUUCUAAGAGGCCAGUUAGUGCAGGCCGCCUCUCACUCUCUCUCUAUUAAACUAUUUCCUUUAACAGAAAAAGCAUAGAGAGAAGAGAAAAGAAGAGGGGGGUUAGGGAAAUAAUUACGCACGAGGGAUAAUUUUUACGGACUUGUAUAGAUGUGCACGGUCCACGAAAAAUAGGAGAGGCAUGAUUGUAAGAAUUUAAUUCAAAGUCAUUUGAAUUUAAUUCAAAUGGUUUGAACAAGGACUAGGAAUUAGAGGUGUCCAAAAAUGUUCGGAUUUUUGGUGGAGCUCUGGAAAAUGAUGAAAGAAAUAUAAGGCAAGGUUAAAGAGUCAACACUUGAAGAAGAAAAAGGCCGAGGGAUUUAAUAUGCAAGUGUGUUAAGGUGAAUUCCAAAUAAAUGGAAUAUUUAUAAUAGCUCCAUAAAUAUUAGGAGGAUAAUGUUAUAAAGAGAAGUCACUCUUCCCUCGAUUUAAAUGGAUCGAAGAUCCACACAAAUUAUUUAGUGGGUUUUAAAACGGGUUGCAUGAUGACAUGAUGCAAGGCACAUGAUGCAAAUGGGAAAGCAACAAGCAAAACAAAACACAUGAUGAAACCCGGAAUCCAUGGAUGGCAUCUGAAUCUCCGGUCUUGGGGCGUUACAACAGGGUUUCCUCAGUGUGUCUGAGUAGAGUGCACAAUUAUAAUCAUCAAGAUGCAUACUCUUUCUGUUGAGAAGGUUUCUUGUGUUGAUCCUGUCAUGGAGGAGCAGCCAGUUAAUAUCUUAUGUCUCAACCUACAAGAUGUUUUCCAAAUCUGUUGGAAGAUCGGGUGAACUAGACUGGGUCCUCUCAUGUGGUGACACAUUUUGAUGGACGAGUAGCCUUUAGUAGACCCCAGAAUGCACCAUUCAAGUGAGUUACUGGAAAUUGGUUUGUGUUGCAGCUGCUGAAGAAGUUGGUUAUAUUGAUGGAAGGCUUGUUGUGACGUUGGAGUGUGGAAAAGUUCUGGUAAGUCAUGGCCACGAAUAGCAGACUUCAAGGUUUCAAAAUCAUUUCUUGCAAAAGAGUGAAGCUCAGGGAAUUUGGUUUCAAGUGGUUGAUCCCACUAGUUAUCAGACCACAGAUGUGUAGAGUCUCCUGAGUGUGCCUUGCAGAUUGCAAAUUUUUUAUAGAUUGGCAGUAACUUGAGUAUUGCUUUCCACCAGAAUGAUCCCACCAGUCUCUCACCAGGGAGAGAAUUGGAGUAGUAUGAUUCCCAAAUGAUAUUGAUCCAUGGAAUAUCAACCUUAUUAAAUAAUAUGCAGUUAUUUCAGAAGAAGAGCCUUGUUGUGGGUCUCAAUAUCCAAUAUCCCUAGUCCACCAUUGGAUUUAGGUUGACAUGAUGUGUCCCAUGCUAUGAGUGCUGCACCUCUCUCAGUUGAUCCAAAUUUCCUCCAAAAACUAUUCUUUAGGUAAAUGUUUAGUUGUUUGACCACUGUUUUCGGCAGCUUGAGGGAGCACAUGGAGAAAAUUGGCAAGCUGGAGAACACUAAUUUAAUGAGAGUUAAUUUGUCUCCAGUGGAAAGCAGAGUUGAACAUCCAAGCAAUCUAUUUUCUACUCUCUUUAGUAGAGGCAAGUAGUCUUCCGCUCUAUGUUUAUGCAGGCUGAAAGGUAAUCCCAAAUAAGUUGAGGUAGUUUUCCAAUCUGACAGCCAAAGAUUGAAGACAAAUACUGCAUCUGCUCAUCAGAAGUGUUGAUGGGUAUCAUGAUUGACUUGCUGUAGUUAACUUUCACACCAGUGAAGGCAGCAAAGUGAAGGAGUAGGUUCUUGAUAUGCAUCAGUUGGGAGGCCUCAGCUUUUACAGUGAGGAUGGUAUCAUCAGCAUAUUAGAUGACAGGAAAGUCAGGGCUUGAUUGAUGUACCAAUGGUGCUUGAAUCAGAGAAUUAUGCAUUGCUUCAUUCAUCAUAUAUUGUAGCAGAUCUACUGCAAGCACAAAGAUGAGAGGUGAUAGAGGGUCACCCUGCCUUACCCCACAUUUGCAUAAGAACUGUUUUCCAGGUACCCCAUUGAGCAGCACGGAAGAAAAUCCAGUGCCAUAAAUCAUUUUAAUCCAAUUAAUCCACUUGGAUCCAAAACCUUUGGCUUGUAAGAUCUCAAUAAUAGUAUCAUGGUUGAGCAUAUCAAAGGCCUUCUCCAAAUCCAAUUUCAGGAGAAUCACAUCUUGAUUUGACUGGUAACAUUGAUGAAUGUAUUCAUAAGACCAGGCUAAACAACCUUGAAUGCAUCUGUUGGAUAAACAUCCAUAUUGGUUGGGGUGAGCUUGAGAAUCUUUUUUUGCAAUCUAUUGGCCAGCAGCUUGGUUAAGAUCUUCAGAGUACAGUUUAGUAGGGAGAUUGGUCUGAAGUCAUUUGGUUGUGCAACAUCAUAUUUCUUGGGGAUCGGAGUAAGGAAAGAAUAAUUAAUACUCUAUAGAUUUACUAUGCCCAAAUAAAAAUCUUCAAUAAGUCUGUAGAAAUCAGGAGCCACAAUGUCCCAAUAGGUUUUGAGAAAUGUUGCAUUAAAUCCAUCUGGUCCAGGUGCUUUAUCAACAGGCAUCUUCCUAAUAACCCCAUCAAUUUCUUGCUUAGUAAAUGGUAGCUCUAGGUUAGACAAAUCAUCAUGCUGCACAAGUGGAGACUGAAGCAUAAGUGGGUUUUCAGUUUUGGAAACUUUUCCCAAUCUCUUCUUGAAUGCUCUGAAAAGGAUAACAAUUUUAGCAUGAUGGUCAACAUGAUCAUGAUCAUCUUCAUCUUCCAACAAGCAAUGUGGUUAAAUCUGUGUUUUAUGGUGGCUUUGGCCUAAAAGUACUUGGUAUUUGCUUCCCCUAUCUUGAUGUUUCUGAUGGUAGCUCUUUGUUUCCAAUAAAUCAUCUGUUGUUCAUUAAUAAGACUCAAAUGAUCAAUAAGAAUCCUUCUGCCAUUAGAUUCCUCCACAGACAAGUCCCUAUGUUCCUCAAUGACAUCAUGGAAUAGAAUCAUGAAGUUGAUGUUCUGAAUAGUAUCUUUGAGAUUUGAAAUAGAUUUGGCCCAGAUCUUUAAGCCCGUCCUAAGCCUGUUGAAUUUAGCAGCAAUGCAUUUAGCACUAUCUGCUUCAUGUACUUCUUGCUCCCAGUUAUUUCUAACUACAUCCUUGAAUUGGGGGUGCUUGAGCCAGGAAUUUUCAAAUAUGAAAAUAUGGGAUCUAGGAAUGCAGGUGCCCACUUUGAUAACAAUAGGGAUGUGGUCUGAAGUGGUUUUGGCAAGAGGAAUGGCUUGAGUGGAAGGAAACAUGAGAGUCCAAGCUUCAGAAGUAAAACACCAGUCCAACUUUUCCAGAAGAGGGGCAUCUUGCAUAUUGCUCCAGGUGAACUUUCUGCCUUUCAGAGGAAUUUCAACAAGUGCUUGAUCAUUGAUUGCUUCAUUAAACAAGAACAUGUCAUUUAGACUACCACCAUCUCUGUUCCUGUUGUAAGGAUAUCUUAUGUAAUUAAAGUCACCAGGACAAGCCAAUUUUCAUCAUCCCCCACUUGAUAAUUCUUGAACCAAUCAAGAAAAAAAAUUCUUGCAUCUUGUUGACAAGGUCCAUAGAUGUUGGUGAGCUUCCAAGUAGUCCCAGAGAGUUUACAAGUAAAAUGGAUGGUCAAGGAGAAAUCAUUCUGGUGUAUCAACAACCCAGAGAACAAUUUUUCAUUCCAGGCAAUCAUCAACCCUCCAGAAGCACCAUUGGAUGGAAGAAAUUCAAAUUUUGUGAUGUUAUUAGGACAUAAUUUCCUAAUAUAAGCAGAUUCAAAAUGCUCUCUCUUAGUUUCUUGGAGGCAGAUGAUGGAGUAAGCAGAUUCAGCAAUUUUAUUAGAUAGAGCAUCCCAUUUCUUAGGGUCAUUGAUGCCCCUAAUGUUCCAGUUCAGAAUAUUCCAGCUUCUCUUCAUGAGGAUUGCAGUAAACUGGAGGGAGGAGGGGAGAGACUGGUACUUGGAGAGCCCAUUACAACACAUACAGAUUAGAGCAACCAGAACAAGAAGAAUAACACAUCAUACAUCAACCCAGAGAAAAUGACACACUGAUAUAUGGAAUAACAAGUUUGUCCCACAGAAUUCAUAAGGGAAAGGACCCAGUCAUACACCACAUAACCAAGUAGUCUCAUGAGACCAAAAGAUCAGGUACUAUAACAGAAGAUAGAAGAAAAGGGCUUGCUACUUGACAUUCUUCCCACCAGUGGCCCCUUCCUUAGUCUUGCUGGCACCUUCCUUUGACUUGGGGCCAACCUUGGGCUUCUUUAUCUUGGUGGUAAGUUUAUCUUCUGAAGUAUCUUGAGCAUUGACCUUGCAAUAAGCAGUGUUCUGAUUCUUAAUAAUCUUAGCAGGUAAUGGCGAAUGGAAAGAAUGACAUGCCAUGCAGUUUUUAUCCAUGCAAACUGAUUUUUGUAUUCUUUAUUAAUCUUUUGCAGUCUACAACUUCUGGAUAUCAUCACCAAAAAGCAUAGUCCAUUCACUUUGUCAAGGUGAAGUACGUAUAAGAGUAUACAGUAAAAACAACCAAUAAUUCAUGCCAAAUAACUUUGAUAUCUCUCUCAAACCUCCCAUGGUUAGCACCAGUAACUCUUAUAUUUUACAUGCCUUUACACUUAUAAUGCUACGUCAACAAAAAAAUCUUCAAAAAAUGCUGCUAACAGAACAUGAAAGCCUAAACAUGCAACUCUAGCGGUAGCAGACUGGCAGUCAGGAACAUUGGCAUCAUCGUUUUGAUAGCGAUGAUAGAAUCGACAAGUUUGCUUCUAUCUACAACCUAUUUUAGUAUAUUUGGCACACAAGAUCUAACCCUGAGAACUGAUGUGCGUUGAUUUCUGCAUCUUGAGCUCAUUCUCGGUCAUCAAAUUCUCCACCGACAUCUUGGAUUUGCCUUUGUCCCUCACAUGUGAAUCGUGCUCUUGUCUCAACUUUUCCCAAUUUUAACCUUAAAGAUGGCUGUCAAGUCAGGCUCACAACCCUCCUUCGGAUUGGGCGCUUCCUGGCCAUCCGUUCUGAGUAAAUUCUUCUCCUUGGCUUCCCUCGACCAUCACCAAUCACGGGCCUCGUCUCCCCCAUGCUGCUUCAGCUGGGUCAAAAAUUCCACGCCUGGAAUUGCAAUCACGCCCUUAAUCAUAUUUUGAUAUUGCUAACAACAUAGUUAUAGAGGACUAAUAUGGUUGUUAAGAAUAUCUACAGGUUUCCCGCAAAAAAGAAUAUCUACAAGUUUUGUCCCCAUGGAUGUCUUUUGUGUGGAUCAUGGACCGUCUAAAAAUAAUGAAAACUCAAGACAUAUGCCAAGCUAAAGAAAAGAAGUAUUUUCUAUUCUAUUUUAGGUUUAGGUAUCCUGCAAUAUUAAAACGGUUUCACCGUGGAAGUGCAAAAGGUCUUGCCGAGGUCAGAUCUUACUUAACCCACCAUAGAAAAAUCCAGUGCCAAAAAACCUCUCAAAAUCCAAACUUCUGUCCUGCCAAAAAGUUCACUUUGCACCUGCGGCGGUCGUCCAUGCACUUUAUGCCCAGACUAUCCAGGUAGAAUGGUUUUGGCAACCAAAGCUCAGAAAUAUUGUCCGGACAAUUGCCGGAUUGUCGGGGCAACUGUCCGGGUGUGUCCAUACUGUCUGACCAAUGUCUGGGCGUUUGUCUAGGCUGGAGGGGUGUGACACCUGAGAGCUCAAAAUCCUGGCCGAACUAUACGGGCAAUUCUUGUCAGACUAUCUAGCCCUUGUACUCUUCACUCAUUCUCUCAGCUAUUGGUUUGAAGUUUCAAGCAGCCGGACAGUCCGCUCACUUUUCGUCGAGACUGUCGGGCACUUUCCGCUCAGACCGUCCAAACAUAAGUUAUUAGCCUAAUAACUUCUAGUUCCAUGCAUGCCAUAUAUACCCCCUCUACAACUCCGGUAGUGGGUUGACAACUACAUUAAGAAAAACCCUAGAACACCCAAGUGCUCCCUUUCACUUUCUCCUACACCAAAUCCAAGAUUUCAGAGAUAUUUGUGGGAGUUCUUGAGAGAGAUUUCUCCAAGUGAUAGAUCCACUCUUUCUCCCUGUUUUAACCCAAGCAAUUCGUGAUUUGAGCUAGUUUUGAGCAUUUCCCCUUGAUCUUGUUACUCUUGGAGGUUGAAGACUCCUAGGCGGUAGGAGUUCUUUAAAGAGGAAUCAAUUGUUGUGAUUACCCACCAAAAAA
rnacentral:lncRNA from 1 species